rnacentral:rRNA from 1 species
AGGACGAACGCUGGCGGCGUGCUUAACACAUGCAAGUCGAGCGGUAAGGCCUUUCGGGGUACACGAGCGGCGAACGGGUGAGUAACACGUGGGUGAUCUGCCCUGCACUCUGGGAUAAGCCUGGGAAACUGGGUCUAAUACCGGAUAUGACCUGCUCUCGCAUGGGGGGUGGGUGGAAAGAUUUAUCGGUGCAGGAUGGGCCCGCGGCCUAUCAGCUUUGGUUGGUGGGGUAAUGGCCUACCAAGGCGACGACGGGUAGCCGACCUGAGAGGGUGACCGGCCACGACGUGGGACUGAGACACGGCCCAGACUCCGUACGGGAGGCAGCGAGUGGGAAUAUUGCACAAUGGGCAAAGCCUGAUGCAGCGACGCCGCG